UUUCCGUAGGUGAACCUGCGGAAGGAUCAUUACAGAGAACAUCGCCCUUACGGGUGACUCUCCAACCCUAUGUUAUUAUACCUUUGUUGCUUUGGCGAGCCGCCUCGGCCACCGGCUUACGCUGGUGAGUGCUUGCCAGAGAACCCCAAACUCUGAGUUUAAAUAUCGUCUGAGUACUAUAUAAUAGUUAAAACUUUCAACAACGGAUCUCUUGGUCCUG
rnacentral:misc_RNA from 1 species